rnacentral:lncRNA from 1 species
AGAACGCAAAGAAGAGGCGAGGGCAUUGCUCUUUGACCUUUGCUGGUGACCUGGCUGGGCAGAUGAAUGAUGUUGGUUGAGAAAUGACAAUUCUACAUCAGAAACUGUUUCAAGUUCUCCAUGUUGCAGGGGGUCAGUUUUUUGACGGAGGGGAAAUACAGCUUUAAUGAGAGCUGACUAAUCCCCAGGGCAUCAGACUUUCUGGAGUAACUGAUGAUGCAGAUCCAGGAGAUAUAUAGCCUGUGAGUACGUGCCUCAGAUUUGACUGCCCUUGCUACGAAAAAGUGUGAAAAACAGCAGAGAGCUGGAGGUGCUAGAUAGGGCUGAACACAACGCCAAACAGGUUAAAGUGAGAUGAGACCUACACAGAAAACAGCUUCGGAGGAGGAAUGU